ensembl:lncRNA
CUCUUCCCUAGGCCUCCUCUAAUACCACCCCGGUGGGGAGGGGAGAGGGUGGAUUGAUAAUUGGAGGUGGAGGUGGAGGCUCAUGCUCACCAUGACGGCUCCAUGACACCUACGUGGUUUUGCCCUGAGGCAUGUGGAAUCUUAGCUCCCUGAUUGCACCUACCCCCGGAAUUGGAAGGCAGAAAAGUCUUAACCACUGAACCACCAGGAAAGUUCAUCCACUCUUAUUUUAAGCUGAAGCCAUUCUAGGUUGGAUGGCAUCACCGACUCAAUGGACGUGAGUCUGAAUAAACAUCCGGGAGUUAGUGAUGGACAGGGAGGCCUGGCAUGCUGCAGUCCAUGGGGUUGCAAAGAGAGACACAACUGAGUGACUGAACUGAACUGACAUUUCUGAACAAUUUAGAAAUGCUUUACUGUUUAUACAAAGUUUCAAACCAUGAGACAAAUAUCAAAUAUUGCUAAUGGAUAACUGAAUUGAGCUUCCCAGGUAGCUCAAAUAGUAAAGAAUCUGUCUGCUAUGCAGGAGACCUGGGUUUGAUCCCUGGUUUGAGAAGAUCCUCUGGAGAAGGGCAUGCCAACCCACUCCAGUAUUCUUGCCUGGAGAAUUCCAUGGACAGAAGAGCUUGGCAGGCUAUAGUCCAUGGGGUUGCAAAGAGUCAGACACGACUGAGUGACUAACACACACACGCACACAUGUAUACCUAAAUUACGGUAAAAGUAUAGAACAGGGAUGGAAAUGAUGAAUUCUUAAUUCAGGAAAAUGCUGAAAACAAUUCAACAGCUAGAAGCCAGUCAUGGCACGGAGCAAGUAGAUAACAAACAAUGCUGGAUGAAUGAAUGAUUCAUUCUUUCAGGAGGGUGAGGAGUAAAGGAUUAGGGACGUGUGCAGAGACUUCAGUUUAAACAUUUUAUGUCUUAGCCUGAGUUUUUGUUACCCAAGCAUUUGUAAUAUUACACUACUUCUCUCUGUUGGAAAUAUUUCAUAGUUAAUAAAACUAAAUCCAGGUUCUGAUGUCUGCUUUCAAAGAGCUCAUAAGUUAGAAUUAGAAUUGUUGCAACUAGCUCACAUUCAUCACUCCAGCCCCAACACUUUUUGGCUGUGUCUUGGGUAAAUUAUUCACCUUCUCUGAGACACUGUCCUCAUCAUAAGAUAGCGAUAGAAGAGUUUCCACCUCACAGAGCCCUUCAGACGAAAGGUGCAAUCAAUAUCUAGUACUGAGUGCCUGGAAUAUAAUAAGUGCUCAGAGCUAUGUCCACAUACAGCAUCUCAGGUCUGCCCAGCCACCCUAUGAAGAUGUGGAAACAGACUCAGGUAAGAACUGGAAAAUGAUGUUGCUGGGGUUUGAACCCAAACACCACCCUUCAUAUUAACCAGUCUGAGUGCUAAAGGAGUUGUAAAGUGGAAUUUACCUGUCGCCUCUGUCUCCCUAUCUUUUUCUUUCCCUGUGUCCUCUGGACACAUAGCACAAAUGGGAUUCUACAGUACUGGUCACCACGCUGUAAGCUCCUUGAGUUAGCAUGGUUGCUCCAACUCUGUCCUGUGGCCAGUCCGUGUGCCUUGCAGCUUUCUGUUGUCAGAAGGGAGCCCUGCUCUCCUCCCAGACCCUGCCACCAAAGCCUGUCUGCCUUUCCCAGGAUGUCCCUGGGCACCAGAGGCAGAGAACAACCUGCUGUGUCUGGAGCUUGGCAACCAUCUUGGCUGGUGUUAAAGAGUAAUUAAGUCAUCCAUGGAAUGACUUAAUUCCUCCAUCCAGUGGUGGAGGCUGAGGUUGUGGUUCAGAGCAGGCUGGGUCAAUGCCAAGGCUACUUUGGCUUCAUCUAAUUCACAUCCCUCACAUUCCUCUCUGCAAGGAUAGGGGCAGGGAGAGGUGAACCAAUCCUGGUAAGAGAAGGCUUGGCCUGGAGCUUGUCUCCUCCUCUUACUAGCUGUGGAAAUUUGGACAAGUAACAACCUCCCUGAGCUGAUAUUUCCUCAUCUUAAGAUGGUGAUAGUAAUCUUUUCUUACCUCAGGGUUGUUGAGCAGCACAAAUGAUAUAAUGAAUUGAAAACCUCUAAUAUGUUUUGCUCUGAUGAGUCCAGAUAGUUCUAUAGUGGGAGGUGGAAGUGGGAAAAGGGGCAUACUGAGGGCUAGACUUUGCUAACAGCCCCCUGGACACCAGCUCCUCUGUUGGCUCAAAGCCAUUUCUCAGAGCGAACCAGACGGAUUGUCUAGAACCCUCCACUUUGUCAAUAUCCUCACCUCUUCCCUGGAGGAGAAAAUGGCAACCCAUUCCAGUAUUCUUGCUUGAAAAAUCCCAUGGACAGAGAAGCCUGUCAAGCUAUAGUUCAAACAGUCACAGAGUCAGAUGCUACUAAGCAUGCGUGCAUAACACCUUUCCCUGAAUUUCCAUUUUGGAAGUGGAUUGUAAUGAACAAGGGAAAGGGGUAGUCAGGUGAUGUUAUGAACUGGUGUUUUAAGAAAAUCCAGGGUUCUCUUGGAAGAAGCAUCAUAGUCAAGAGGGAUGGAUGCAGACAGGGAAGUGAUGUGAUUUUUGGUAAGUGGCUUAACCGCCCUGAAUCUGAUUUCCUCAGCUAAAAACUAAGGAACAUAAUACUUUGCUUGUAGGACAGUUAUAAGGAUCAGUUGAGAGCAUGUAUGGAGAUGCAAAUUGGCACCCCCUUCCAGUAUUCUUGCCUGGAGAAUCCCAUGGAGAGAGGAACAUGGUGGGCUGCAGUCCAUGGGGUCGGAAAGAGUCAGACACAACUGAGCAACUGAGCAUGUGUACACACACAUACACAUGAAGAUGCAGACUGGGCCUGGCAGGGACUCAACACUCAAUCAUAGGAGCUGCUAAUAGCUAGGAGUCACUGAACAGUGGGCUGCCUUCUGUGAAAACAGACCCACCACACUCUCUGAAGCCAUCUCUUCCCAUUUCUUUCUUUCUAAGACUUCUCUGGAUGUUCAUUUGACCUAGAUUUCUCCUGUGCCCAAUACUGAGAGUGAGGGCCCCAGUCAUGGAGUUUGCACGAGAUGGCCUUGAGGGGCUGCUGUAAGGGGCUGGUGACUCUCAGUGGUCUCUCCAUCAGUGCUCACUCAUGAGUGCUGAGGGGAGUGAGGGUGUCUGAGAACAUCUGAUGCCUGGAACCACAAAGAUCUGCACACAGAAUGUCAUGCAUUCAAGUUGGAAUUAAUGUUCUAGACACAGAAGUAGGGACUGGAGGUAAGAUAGUGAACAUGGCUUGGCUCCCUCCUUAUUGAGCUUUCACUUAAAAAAGUGGAACAGGUAUGUAAAUUCAGCUGGCUGAGGGUUCUGAGCUCACAGUCUUGUAGGGGAAACAAUUAAGUCAAUUCAAUAGUCUAAGAGCUCUGAUUCAGUAGGUGGGCUGCCCACAUAUAUGGACUAGUAGGAAGCCUACUGAUCCUGGGCAUCAGGAAUCUUAGGGUUUUGGCCCAGGCUCUGCCACUGAUGUACUCUUGGGCAGAUCCCUUCCAGCUUUUGGAAAUGAGAUGAACUUUAUGGGCCCUUAUAGCAUGUACAAAAGUUUUUUGGUUUUGGUCAUGUGGAGAUUUUAGAACUGGGGAAUAACCAACAUUCUGGUUUAAAGUAUGAAUUAGACAAUUUCAAUAAAGAGGUUAAAAAGGACAAACCUGCAUCUGUGUAACAUUUUGUUUUUCUUCGUGAAAGUGUAACAUCUUUGACUGACAACUCCUUGGCUCAGCCAAGGUGGAGACUUUUAGGAAAAAUCGCCACUAACUAAAGAAGUGAUGAAAAUGACUGUGAGAAACCAAAAGGAAAGAAAUCUUCCUUAAAGUCCCUGCUCCAAAUGGAGAAAGUGUUUCUGCUGAUGGAGCAAGUGAAUCUGGGCAUCCAGGGUGAGCCCAAGAGUCUUGGGAAUGGACUGGCUGAGCAAUAGCUCGAAGGCAGAGGACAAAGGAGGCUGGCAAUGCAGUUUGUGGAGCUCGGCUUCUUGAGGCCCAGCAGGGCCUGGUCUACAGGAGAGAAUUCACAGAGCUGGGAAGGACAGCAGAAUCAAUACCAAGCAAGAGGCUCUUCCAACUCUCACAGCCUUGGGACCAAGAAACCUGUUCCCCAUUGAGCAGUUCACUGACUCAAGGGACAUGAGUCUGAGAUUGCAAAGGUCAUGGAGCUGGCUAUCAGAGGAAAUUAAAGUUAGCUGCGAAUCGGAGUGAAUGGGAAUCAGUGUGAAAUGAGACUAAGAGAUGCCUAGAACAUAGAACGAAAUUCGCUUUCUUUGUUGAAGCUUUUCAGACCCUUUGAUGUACAUUAGUAAUAGAAGCUCAGUUUGUAUGAUAAACAAAGAGGCGCCAUUAAAGAGGAUAUGUCCUCAUUUUUCGUCACUUGUUGAAAUCAAACUUCAGUUCUGCAGGAUACAAUUAUUAUCACGAUUCAGAAUUGUAUACACUGGAUGCAUUUCCUCAGAGCCUCUCUGCCUUGCUGAUGUUUUGCUGCUGUGUCCUACUGUUGUGUACCUGUCGAUGUUUCUGUCAAGCCUUGCUGUGCUUGCCUGCUUGGGAGAUGGACCAGAGCUCUGCCAUACCUCCUCCAGCGGCUACUUGGUACUCAUCUCAUGGAAUCUGCCUCUCAACCUGUGAAGAGGGUGAUCAGAGAGCUGGAAACCUCCAGUGUGGCCCUUUCUGGCCUCGAUUCAGAUGCGCCCAUGACUUUCUUGUCCUGAGAGAGGGCAGAUGUGAUAGGAAGCAAACUCGUGUACUGGUGCACAUCUGGGUCCAGUGCCCUCACCUGGUCAGGCAGGGACGCGGGAAAUCUGCUUGCCCGGGGAAUCUGCUUCCAGCCCUUCGGCCUCUGCUUCUCAUGUGAUCUGAGAGGUCUCCCAGGAAGGGCUGAAACCCCUCUGGCUCAGAAUCCUGAGAAAGCUGGCAGAGGAAAUCAGAGCAAAGGAAGGUCAGUGUCAUGUCCGGUGGUGCCAAAGUAUAAGGCCAAGUGGAAAUAAGAAUUUGCCUUGAACUCUUUUUUCUGGGUGCUUGUGGUUUUUUUUUUUUCAUUACCUGAUCGACUGGGCAUUAGGGAAGUAUGCCCCACCUUUUCCAGGAGUGGUUCUGACUUUAUAGUUUUAAGAAAUUCAAGAGUCUGAGGUUGACACUUCAAUAUAAGCACACUGAAUGCUGUUGUUCUAGAUACUGACUUAGGAAUUAAUCUUUGGCAAAUUACAUUACAGUAGCACCACAUAACCUUUUAUUUUAAUUUUCUUUCUCUAUAGGCUAUUUUAUAUCCACCUAAGAUAUUCUGAAAAUAAGCCGUGACACCUAAGAAUAUACAUUUAUCACUGCAUUAAUUCUCCAACUGGGGUGUUGCCCAUAUUUUAGAAUUACCUGGCUCCAGUUCCAGGGAAUGGAAUAUAUGAUAAGGUAGAAUGAGAGUAUAUGUUCUAAUGUGAUCCCCUGGAGAAAGAGAUGGUAACCCACUCCAGUAUUCUUGCCUGGGAAUUCCCACAAACAGAGGAGAUUCACAGGCUACAGUCCAUGGAGUCUCAAAAGAGUCAGACAUGACUUAGUGACUAAACAACAAACAAAAUGUUAACUAUCUAUGCAUUCUUAGAUGCAGAAAUAUUAUUCUAUGUAUUUGAAAUACUUUAUCAGUUUUAUGCUUACUUCUAAAAAUUCUUGGAGUUAAGACACACUUAUCUAAUCAUCAAACAGUCACGCAACCCCAAACAAUUGGGACUGUCUUUCCAAACACCUUUUUGGGAAUUUCCUCAGCUGGCUGAGAGAUCCUAGGCCAGGGAAGAGGAAAGCAUUUCUACCUGUGACUCUGAUGGGAUGGACUACAACCUUUUGAUGGUUGUUCUAACAAGGACUGGUCACAGAGCUUAGUUUUGAAACAAGAGGUGAAAAUGAAAGCCAAGCUUAUGUCUGGUUGAUAGAAUGGAACUUGCAUCCUGCUUAGGACCAUUCUUUUGUCUAAACACGGCACCACUCAUAUUUAUCAUCUACCUUUCCCAAUUCUCAUCCCCCUCUGAUGGGAAAUAAAUGAAACAGCAGAUAUCUGUCAAUUGUUGAAUAUGCACAAUGGGAUAUUAUUUAAAGAAAUAUAAAAGGGACUAAAGGAAUGAAGGGAUAAAAAGGAAUAUAAUGCUUUUGUAAGCUACAACUUGGAGCCUUGAAAAUGUUAUGCUAAAUGAAAAAGACCAGUCACAAAAUGCCACAUACUGUUUGAUUCUGUUUGUUUAAAAAAAAUUCCAAAAGUGAAUCCAUAGAGAUGGAAAGCAGGUCGGUCAUGGCUAGGAGGAAGGAGGAGUAGGGAGUGACUACUUAAUGGGCACAGGCUUUCCUCUAACAGUGAUGAAAUGUUUUGGAACUAGAGAGAGCUGAUGGCUGCACACCCUUGUGAAUGUACUAGUUGCCGUUGGACUGUACACUUUACAGUGGUUUAAAUGAAUUUUUUAUUAUAUGAAUUUUACUUCAACUUAAAAAAAGGGAUAGUGUAAAACAAAGAGAAGGGGGGGAAGAGGAAAUAUCAUUGGACAAGACGAUUCAACAAAUUUUAGAAAAUGGAAAACAUUUGGAGAAAUGGAAAUUGACUUACCAGAGCAGAGGAAGCGAAAACCUAAGUGGUUUCGAGAGAAUGAGGAAUGCGGGUGGGGUAACCAAUGGAGAAAGGAGCUACUUUACUGGUCAGACACUAUAGAAAGGCUGAGGCUUAGAGAUAACAGGUGCUAUGAUAAGUAGCAAUAAAUAAAUAACUUCUGGUUGAAAUUCAGAAUAUAGAGAAUUUGGAUGUCAAGGUCUUUUUUUCUCCCCAUGCCAAACAGUCAGGAGACUUUACAGCCUGUCCCCUUGCUCUGCCCUGGGAGACUGAGAGAUGGUGGAGUUCAGGGUGAAAUCCCAUCCUGA